rnacentral:rRNA from 1 species
GACGAACCGUGCGAACGUUGUUCGGAAUCACUGGGCUUAAAGGGCGCGUAGGCGGGUGUGCAAGUCUGCGGUGAAAGCCUCCAGCUUAACUGGAGAAGUGCCGUGGAUACUGCUCAUCUUGAGGAGGGUAGGGGCAUCUGGAACGGUCGGUGGAGCGGUGAAAUGCGUUGAUAUCGACCGGAACUCCGGUGGCGAAGGCGAGGUGCUGGACCCUUUCUGACGCUGAGGCACGAAGGCCAGGGGAGCAAACGGG